AGCCAUAAAGCAAUCACAAAGCGAACUAUUCUUUCGCCUUUUACUAAAGAAUACCGUGUGCUUACUUUCAUAAGUGGCAUUCCUUUAUUUUUGGGAGGUGAUCUUGUAAAAGGUCC
rnacentral:snRNA from 1 species